UUCUGAAGCGGUUUGGUCUUUCUCUGUGUGGGUUGAAGCUUUCUGGAAUUGCAUGGUGACACUCUGUGUAUUGUGGCUGUGACAGAACAGAGCAACGUUGGCUGGAGUGCCAAGGGCGAUGAGGAGACAGAAGGAAGAAAUCACCACUAUAAGGCCAGAGGGAAGGAUGUUGAUGAGCAGCACUUGGAGCCUCUGCAAGAGAUCAAGGGAGAAGGCCCUACAGCUAGGAGAUAGACAAAAAGACUGUUUCUUUGCUUGGGGAUGUAUCAAAACCAAGGCAGGAGGAGCUACUGGUACCUGACUGUCACAGAACCAGAGAUGUGCCAAGGCUGAUGCUGA